GGUCACCCCUAACCCCGUAUAAUCACUGAAGUUAAGCAACAUGGAGCCUAGACAGUACUUAGAUGGGUGAAUGUUUGGGAAUAUCAGAUGCUGCAAG